rnacentral:rRNA from 1 species
CCCUUAGAUGUUCUGGGCCGCACGCGCGCUACACUGAUGCAUUCAACGAGCCUAUCCUUGACCGACAGGUCCGGGUAAUCUUUGAAUCUGCAUCGUGACGGGGAUAGAUUAUUGCAAUUAUUAAUCUUCAACGAGGAAUGCCUAGUAGGCGCAAGUCAUCAGCUUGCGUCGAUUACGUCCCUGCCCUUUGUACACACCGCCCGUCGCUCCUACCGAUUGGAUGUGCUGGUGAAAUGUUCGGAUCGGCCGUUUGUCGCGGUUUCCGCGUCAUGUGGCUGAGAAGUUCAUUAAACCCUCCCACCUAGAGGAAGGAGAAGUCGUAACA